GGGAUCGAGCCCCACGUCGGGCUCUGUGCGGAGCCGGCUUGGGAUUCUCUGUAUCACUCUCUCUCUGCCCCCUCCCUGCUCAUGCUUGCUCUCUCAAAAAUAAAUAAACAUUUCUUUUUAAAAGCGAGGGAUGAUGUAAAAAAUGGCCACCUGGAAAAUGUUUACGCCUGUUUGUAUGUUUUCAUAUGAGCACCCAAAGGUGCUACUUAAAAUAAACAAAGCACGUAAGCAGAUUGUCUCUGGGUCAGGGAUGAGUCCAGCCCUCCCCUAUUUCCAUCUGCUUUGACCUUUCCAAGCACUGGCUCCUUUAUCUGCCUUUGUGUGUACGCCCAGGCACACAGACCCCCCCCCCCAGGCCCAAACCCAUGUGGCCUGGAGACCCCGCCCUGGCCUGUCCAUUCUAACUCUGGCCUGGCGUCUCCUUGGCCCCCUGCCUCCAGUAAUUGUGACUCACCUCCCCGCGCUGCCUACGCUCCCUCCCACGACUGAACCCGCUCCAUCGUGGCCCCCGGUUUCCGAGGGAGGGAGCUCAGACAGCUCCUGAGUGGUGGGAGACGUCGGGCCUAACUAUAUUGAUGGCAUAACUAUAAAAGGCCACUGUAGCAAAUUUCUCUGAAAGUCUCUUUUUCCUGAGGAAUUGCUCUGACCUACUUACCAGAUGAGAGCCCGCAAUCUGUUCCUCGGUUGUGUGGAAACUCUCAGCUCUGCUUUGUACCCAUUUACAGCAAUGAUCCCUGGCCUGUUUUCUGCUUCUUGUCUGCACAGCCGCCCAGCCUUUACAUAACCCUGCUGGUAACGUGGACAAGGCACCAGCCCGGCAGUCAGGCAGAUGUGGUUUGUGAAUCCCCGGCCUACCAUGAGUCGAAUGAACGUGGGCAUGCAAUUUAACUUCUCCAAACGUCAAUUUCUCCCCGUGAAAGCAGAGACAUAAUACCUAGUCUCCAAGUAGGUUUUAUCUUUGUUGAGAUUCAGUGAGCUAACGUCUGCGCAGAAGGCUAGCCCUGCUCCAAGGAGGUGGAUUCCCUUUCCUUUUUCUUUUCCAGAUGAGCCCCCUCCUGGCCGUGUUUUGCGUAGGGACGCAUUUGCAGAACAAUCCUGAGCGAUACAUAGUGAAACAAACAAACAAACAAGUAAACAAACAAGCAAGCAAAUUAAAACUGGGACUUUGUGGCGUCUGACCCGCGGCCGCUAGGAUACGUGAACCGUAAGCCACAGAACAUUCAGGACCCAGCACCCCGCAGGAUGGGGGAUGUGCAUCAGCCACACGUGCAGAUUGGUUCUCUAUCUCAGUUCCCCAAGCGGCUCUGGGGAUCCCCAAGACCCGCUUCCGCGUUAAGACCCGCAGCCGAGGCGGCAAGGCGUUGAGAAUGGUCUCCGAGACGAUAAACAAGCGUGAGAGGAGGAAGUGGGUGUCACCGCACAGCCCGUGCCUGGCCCGGGAACGCAGGCCGAGCUGUUUACACCUCGGUGCCGGCAAAAAAGUUUGCGCUGCAAAGCUCAUUUCUUGCCGUCUGACCCCUCCUCUGGGGUGGGCCUUCCUUUAAACAAAGGACAGCUUCCGCAGCACUCAGAAACAAAUGUUUGCUUCCCCGGAGGGAGAAGGAGGCGGGCGCCCUGCGCGAUGCCAGAAAUAAGCCUUCCUCCUGUCACUUGGGAGCCUGUGCCGUCUUGUCCGCAGGAGACACCGCAGCAAGGGGACAGGCACCUGGAGAGAAUCAGAUUCCACAGAUAAUUACAGGAAGGGCAACCACAGGUCCCAGUGAGGCCGGCUGUCUGCGGGCGGUUUUCAUCGGGCUCUUUUUCACUCUAUUGACUCAUCUGCACAGAAUCAGUUUCCCCGAGGUGCACAUUGGGCGCCUUGCACACAGAAAUCGAUCGCCCCACGGUUCCGGAGGCCAGAAGCCCAAGAUCGAGGCCUUGGCAGGGCUGGCUUCUUCCGAGGCCACCAGCGAGAAUUUAUUCCAUGCCUGUCUCCUGGCUUCUGGCGUUUGCUGGCAAGAUUUGACAUUCCAGAAGCAUCGUCCCGGUCCCUGUCUAAGUGGCCACGUGGUAGGCUCCCUGUCAGCAUGUCUGUGUCCAAAUCUGCCCUUUUUAUGAGGACGCCAGUCAUCCUGAAUCACUCCGGGAUGGCCUCGCCGUAACCAAUGGCACCUGUAAUGACCCUAUUUCCAAUAUGGCGACCUUCUGAGGCGCUGGGAGUUAGGUCUUGAACGUGUACGUUUGUGGGGGAUACAAUUCAACUCCUAACACCUACUGCGUGGACACCUUUGCUAGAAGCUGAGGGAGAGAAAGAGGUGGUGACACACAGCCUGUGCUUGGCUCACCCACAAGCCAGCCUGGAACACGGCCAGCAGGGCAUUCUGCAGCCCAGGAUACGGUUGAUGAGCGGGACAGUGGAGAUACGAGGCAAGUUCCAUGGGAGCAGGAAGGAGGGCACCUUACAGAAAUGGCAUUUGAGGACUGGGUUGAGAGGUACAAUCUUUAAGUUGCUCUUUAGUGUGACGCUGAGGGGGGCUGUAGUAUCUGAGACUUGGUUUACCAGGACACAAGUUCAAAGUCCUCCCUGGUGUAUGUCUGGUCUCUCUCUGGUGCAGAACUGCAUGGCCGUUGUUAAAGCCAAUAUGCUGUGGAAUAUACACAGGCCGGUCUGGAGUAUGAAGUGGAAAUACUUGAAGUUUCAAAUAAUCAGUCACGAGAGAGAGCGCGAGAGAACGCGUGCGUAUGAGCCGAGGAGCAGAGAGAGGAGAGAGAGAAUCACCGACUGUGAGACCAUGAUGUAAGCCGAAACCAAGAGUCGGACGCCUAACCGACUGAGCCGGCCCAGUGCCCCACGUCUCCAUUCUAUAUGGGGCUCGAACGCCCUGCAGAAGGGUUCGGUCCUAAGAAACAAAACGGCCCAAUGAUAUCAUUGUUGAACGGUGAACAUAUUUGUGUGGAAAAUUUUGCUGCCACUGGAAAAGUUUAUUUUCAUCUUACACCAGUUUAGAAGUUGUCGGGAGAUAGUAAUAAACCAGAUUCCAUCUUCAAAGAAUCUUUUCCCCUGUUUGAUGACUCCCAAAGUUCUUUCAAAGUAACUUUUUGGGGGUUUUGGGUGGAGAAUGGUGGUCAGAAACUGGAAGUUUUCACUGAUAGCCGGUUGUAGUUUUAUUCCUCAAAAGAGCACUUCAGUCUCAUCUUUAUCCUCGUUGCUUUGUCGCCAAUAGAGAUUCAAUUCAGUUUCCGUAUUACUCUCAAAGAUAUUCCAUUUAUAUCCUGCUUGCGAGAAAAUGUUUUCACUGGGGUAAGAGUCUUCCCAUAGAAAUUGUCCUGCUCCAAUGUCUUCUAAAGGAAUGUAGCUUUGUUCUAUUUGAAAAUUAAUGCAGCAUGGAAUUCUCUGAGUACCUCUUAGGAAAAUGCAGGAUGUCAAUCGCAGAUUAUUUAAGUAUUUCCCAAAAAGGUUUUACCAACAAAAGUAUCUAUAGGUCAGUAAUCAAGACUAGAGCCCUUACUGACAGAGUAUUAGUUAUUGAUGCUAUCCUUAUGCAUUCAUGCAAAAACCAUUCUUUGAGCACAGGUUAUCUGCAGGGUGUUUCGCUAGGCAUGAAGGAUAAGUGACAGAUGUUUAUUAUCCCUGUCCUUGGGAUGCUUAUGGUCUAAUGGGAGCUGCGAUAAACAAAUGAAUAAACGAUUGCAAAGGGUGAUUUGUGCAUGAAGGAAAAUAAGGGCUACGGCAGAGAAUAGGGUGACCAGCGAAGGUCUUUCUGAGGCGGUGACAUUUUGACUGAGUCACAACUCAAAGACAACACCGGGCAAUAGAGGAAAGUGAUCUAGGCAGAGGGAAAAGUGGGUGCCAAGGCCCUGGGGCAGAAAAGAGUUUUGUGUAUUCCAAGAACUUAGGGAUGGCCUUUGUGCCUGGGACCAAGUGAGAGACAGGAGACGAACACGGAUGAGGUCAUAAAGUCAAGAGGGGCUAGAAGAGGCAAUACGUGGGGGACUGGGAGAAGACAUUGGCCUUUAUCUAUCGGGCAAUGAAACAUCAUUGAAAGAUUUUAAGUAGCGAAGCAGCGUAAAUAAUUUGCCUUUCAAAGAACACUCUGUGGAAAAUUUCUGUUGUGAGAAGAAGAGAGAAAGCAAGAGAGAAAGUAGUGGGACCAGUUAGGAGACCGCUUGGUCAACCACAGGAAACAUGACGGUAGCUUUGACCCAGAUGGUUGUGGUGGAGGCCGCAGGGAGACAGGCUCAUACCAGAUGUAUCUGAAGGAAAGCAAAUAGAACUUGCUUUUGGGUUAGAGGAGAACAGAAAUGCAAGGGGCCAAGGAUGGUCCCCAGUAACCCGGGGACAUUGCUAAUCAGGUGCGUGACGGCGGAGGCGUAGGAGAGGGCCAGGAGAGACUGACAGACGGGCUGGUGCACUAGGACAAACAAGGACAGUGGGGUGUCUUCCAUGACGAGGCAACGGAGCUUCAAGAUGGAAAAGGUGGUCAAGUGUGUCUGACAAAGCGACGUAAAGACCCAAGAGCCUAUUAGACUGGCCAAUAUGGAGGUUGUCGGUAACCUGGCCACACGGUUUCAGAGCAAAGGUGGGUAUGGGGAGAGGCUGGUGAGGAAGCAGGCAGAGCGUGUGUAAGCGGCUCUUUUGAAAGCUUGUCCUUUUUGCCAGGCAGGGGAGCCCAGGACGGAGCUCGGGACCACUGGGCAAGAGGACAGUCAUUUCUCUCAGUUAACCACCCUCAACCCUUUAGCCCAGACACCUUUCGCAGAGAGUAAGAGACUCCUUCCCCACCUCUUUACCUUCAUCCCCAUCAUCCUCAUGAUUACCCUGGCGAGGGCAGGCGUGACAAGGAACCACUUGCUUUUGACCUCUUAGGUGGGCGUCUGCCCAGGUUUUGGCUCCGGGACCCUUCUCCCCUCCUGUCAAUGAGCCCCCGGCCUCCCUCCACACCAUUCUCACGCCGGCCAGCUCAAGGUGAGCUUCUGACUCACACACGCUUUCCUCUUACAUUUUCUCGGUUUCUCACUUAGCCAACGAUGAGGUAGGACAUGCAAAAGUCUAAGAAACGUCGUUGGAGGGCAGAAAAUUAAGGAGGACUUGUAAGGACGCAGUUGUUCUCACGUUUUUGUUUUUCAAAUUGCAUUUUGUUAAACUGACCACGUUAGGGGAAAUUGCCAAUGGAGGAAUAUUGAUCUUUCAAAGCGACGCACGCUCUAGGAGGAUUUGACAUGGCUUUUACUGAAAUUGCAGAAUGGCUUUACUCUGUACGUGCCCUCUGUGAUGGCCUGCGGGGAAGGAUGUGUGAUAUGUGUAAGAAAAGGAGUAGAAGGAAUUUCAUUAAGGGUAGGAUGCUAGAACGUGAAGGUUCCAGCUCUUACGUAAUUGAGGAAGGGUAGACGUUGCAUUUCAGGGAAUAAAGGAAAUCAGAUGCCACAAAUUUAACUGAUUCUCAUCACCAGCCAGUAAUAAACUCUCUUUUGCAGAUCAGACAUCUUUCCUCUAUUUGCAGCAAAGCUUCAAAGCUGCAGGCUGGGCAUCAGGCCAUCAGAGUCACUCAGACCACAAUGAUGACAUUUCCCGGAGUCCAGCAUCCAGCCGUCAUCCCUCUCUCCCCUCAUCGUCCUCUGUCCUGUCACCAAAACAGAAAAAGAUGGGAAAGGGGAAUAUUGUUUCCUUCCUGCCGCAAAGCUCCCUGGGCCUCCUAAGAAUACAAUAUAACCCCCAACGUUCCCCAAAUCUCCACAUCCUAACAUUUCCAGGAAGUUAUAAGCCAUGGGAGUCCGGGCAGACCCAGAAGAACAUGUGUCUUUUUCUCUAAAAGCCCUUGUGGAAAGUCCCCACUAUUCUGUGGGGGAGAAACAGUGUCUGCUUUGUUCAUUCUGUUUCUAACGCCUAGUACAGUGCCCGGUCCAGGACCAACAAUAGUGUUUCUUUAAUGAAUAAACAGGCGAAUGAGUAAAGCUUUCCAAGUGGAUAUAUUCAAAUGCUAAACACUUGGGCUCUAUGUCUAUGUGCUUCCAUUUACCCCUAAAGAAGUUUCUCCUAUUUGUUUUUGUAUCUUUAUUCCCCGGGAACAAGAAAAUCAAAACAGCGAAAUGACUUUUUUGCUGGGUCACAAAGCAUGAAAAGCAUCAGAGCCUGGCAAGUCCGUGAGGCUGAUGACAGCUUUGAUGUGUUGACUUCUCUGCCAGGGUCCCGUUCACGAUCUCUGUGUCCCUCCUCACCUCUCCAUUUCUCUUGCUCCCCCUCCCACUCUCCCUGAUUUCCCCGGGCUCAGCUGUGAAUUCAGCUGCCUGCCAUAGAGUUCACGAAGACUGGACUCACCUAGGGUUAUUUGAAUUUUGGUAGAAGAUUCUUGAAUUCAAAGGAAUAACAUUGAGCGUUAAAAUUUCCAAGGGGUUUAAUUUUCCCAUCUCAAAUUAUUCCAAAUACGCAGUUGUAUAUUCUGGCCAUUCAUAAGGCCAGGUCUGCUCAUUGUUCACUCUGCUGGACCAAACUGGAUUAGGACCCAGACUAGGGUUGCAAGAUCAUCUUGAAAGAGUAACCACGAUCCCUGUUGUCCAUCCGUUCAUCCAUCUACUUCAUUCAUUCGUUUGUUCACUGGAGACCAAUGGUGAGAAAGGCAAGGACGGAUCAGUUCUCUAGCAACUUACAGACCCAGGGAGAGAGAUAGUGAUCUCCUAAUCCUGCAACCGAAAGAAACACCUUGGAUAAAAGGAGUCAAGCUCAGGGAGUUUACAGAGGAGCCACAGAGGCUGGGCGGGUCUAGAGGUGCUUCCCAGAGGAAGGAGGAGUGGGAGUCAAGGGUGGAUAGACAGAAGACCCAAUGGGAGAGGGAGCUCCCUGAAGGUAUAGAAAGCAGGCUGGAGUGGCUGGUGUUCAAACCUCCAGGUGGACAAUCGGCUGGGGAGGAAGGCAAAAGCCAGAGCAUUUAGUCUCUUUGGGACCAGAUUUAAGGUCGUAUUCUUUAUCUUAAGGUGGAUAGGGAGCUCUUGAAUAGUUUUAAGUGGGAGAGGAGCCUGGGAGGAGCCUGGGCAUUAUCCUGCCUUGAGCUACUCGCAAAUAUAUUUGUGUAUCGCUGUACUUUUCUUCUUGUGCAUGUCUAACUCCGCACAUCUCUUCCUGGGGAGAAUUAAGACUGGUGCUUUCCUGGGUAGCAGAAACAAAGACUGGGUCAAGGUUCAACCAGUGACUUUCACUCCAGAGAUAACAGUUGUAAAAGCCCAAGCUUUGUUUUGUCAGAGCAGAGCUCUCAGUGAAUCAAAAGGCAAUGGCCAGAAGAGAUCGAGGGGAUAAAGUUCCCCUAAAAUGAGUAGAUAAUAAACUGGCCCCUGGGUGGGGAGGAGGGAAGUGAUGAGAAGCAGGAGGGCUGAGGCCAGAGAGACUUCUUGGCCGGUGGAAACCACGGAGAGGGAAGCGUCCUGGGCUUGGAGACACUGCCCCACCUCUGCCCCAGCAGGCAUCAGAGAGCCAGCUGGGAACCUCGCAGUCCCUGCAGACUGCACCUGUUGGGGAACGUGCUGUGUGAAGCGUGAAGGUGGCCGGGGCUGAGGAGCCGGUCUUUCUCACUGCACUUCGCCCAUCGUUUACUCAGCAGGAGUGAGAAUCACCUUUCAACACACACAAACUAUCCCCCCACCCUCCCUCCUCAAAGGCUCAGGACCCGCUUUCUCCCCUGAGAGCUAACAGUGAAAUAGUUAACCUGGAUACAGUCAAAGGCGGUACAGUGACGCUGUGGAUGGGCAGGCCCCCUCGUUAUCUGUACCGAGGUGAGAAUAAUAGAGUCACUCGGGUCAAGAUCGCGGUGAAACCCAGCCCAGCUGUAAAAUGAGGUUGGCCAUUUUCAAAGGUUAAUCUGGCUGCGGGGUGGAGAGCUGAAUGCCAAGGGGCCAGAGCUGAGGUUUCGUGACCAGACAGGAGCUUAUGUCAGUGGUCCGGGCAAAAAGUCGCCAUGGCUUGGGCUAACAUGGUGGCCCUGGGGAUGGAGAGGAGUGACUGGAUUCGAGAGAUGUAACUGAGGUAAACAGACAGGACUUGAAGGAGCAGGUAAGGCAGUAUAAGAGAGCUUCGUUAAUUGGGUUUCUAUAAUAGAUCAGCAAAUAGCUUCGAUGGUUUCCACCAUAAUGUUGAAAGCAAACAACCCCAAGUUCUCAGUGGCUUACGGUCAUCUUUUUGUCUUUCUUGUUAUAUAGGUCUGCAGAUUGGUUGGACAUUUCUGUGUCAGGUCAUAGUCGGUCCAUGUGUCUCUUACUCUAGGACCUAUGGUUACACGGGGGUGAGCUCUUCCAUGGCGGGUGGCUGGAGGCCAAGGGCCCAAGCCAAAACACACAAGUAUGUUGCAGUCCUCUAGCUGGACAGGGCCUAGGAAAUGUCUACUCAUAUACCAUCGGUUGAAGGAUACUAGGAGACAAAGCCCGGAGACAAAGCCCAGAGACAGCGGGGCAGCGAACUAAACUGCCCCGGAGAAGCCAUGGCAAGACUGAAUUGUAAACAAAUAAUGCUCUCUGUCUUAAGAAUCAAGGGUGGCCCCUAGGUUUCUGGCUUACCCAGCUGGAUAUAUUGGGGUGCCCUUCCCUGAGAAAGGAAACCUAAGAAAUGAAUCAGGCUUGGGAGACCCCCUGGGCUCAGUCUUGGAUAUUUGGUUUGGGAUGUCUUUGGAUAGCAAAGUGGCAGGAGCUACGGAGAAGUGUGGCCUGGAGGUAUGUACUUGGGAGAUUAUGGCAAAGACUGCCAGUUGUACCCAAAUAUCCAUCCACUUACCCCUUCUUCUUCAGUCGAACCUUGAGUUUUUCUUUUCUUUUCCAACCUCUCUUGAAUGGAGUAGUUGCCUGACUACAUUUUAACCAAUGAAAUACAGGAAGGGUCUAUUAUGACUUCUAAAAACUAUCCUAAAAGGAAAGAGUAUGUCCUUCCUCCUGUUUUAUCGGUCCCUGCUGGCAGAAAUGUGGUUGUGAUGGUUUAAGCCCAAGGGGUCAACCUGGGCCGUGACGUGAAAGUCCGAUGUUGAGAACGGCAGAGCGACGGCAGAGAAAGAAGGCUAGUUCCCUGAAAAGAAAAAUCACUUUUAUAGUAUUUAAGUUACUGCCACUUGUAGUCAAACCCAGUCCUAACUGUCACAAGAGUCACGGGAGCGAGGAAGUGCGAGACACCGCUGAAUUUAACACCAGGUUUUCAAGAAGAGAAUGUGGAACGGGAGGUGAGGAGGGCCCAGGACUGAGCUUCCGGGAGCUCUAAGGUGUAAGAGCCAAGUAGAGGAGGGGACCACCCACAAACAGAGACAGACGCAGCUGAGGGGUAGAAGGAAAGUGAAACCUGGUUGUUCUGGACAGGAAGGGAGGAGAGCACGUCAAGGAAGAGGAAGUGGCCCAAAGUGGGAGACCAUCCAACAAGUGAACAGCAGAGGAGAUGAACUAGGUUCAGAAGAUGACAAGGACGCGGGGGAACACGGCCUUUGAUUCGCAAGAGUAUCCUCUGAAAGACUUAGGAACAAAAUAAGGCUGUAUUGGGGCUAUUAAAACAUGAUUCUUUAAAAAAAAAAAAAAAUUACCCAUAAUUCCAAAUAUUUCUAAACCACCAACGGCCCAGAGUACCGUCCAGGAUGCUUUAAGAGGAAAACGACUCCGUUCUAGACUUCUAUUAGAAGAACACUCCCUCUGGAGCCCAGACUCCAUGCUGUGAGGGCCCCAAGCUACACAGAGGGGCCACAGCCAACAGCCCACAUAAGCUGUCAGCGCCAUCUUGAAUGUCCGGGUCCAGCUGUGGCCAACAUCUGACCAAGACCACGUAAGGGACUCCAGGUGAGAACUAGUCACCGAACCCAGUCAACCCUCAGAGCCACGAGAGGCUGGUCCCUUCACGCGGUUGUAAAAUGGCUGCCACUUCCUCGCGCCUCCAGGCAUCACAUCCUGGCACCCACGUCCCCAGCGGAGGGAGAGGACUGCUUCUCUGCAUCCUGUUUAAGAGCCAAGAGAACUUUUCCAGAGGUCCUCCAGCAGACUUCCACGCCCCAUGGGCUACAAGUGCAUCUCACAUCCAUUCGUAAACCAUGAGUUACCAUUAUCUUGACCUCAGACUACUCCAGCUUCCCCCCUUCGGAAGCUUUGCCCAAUACGGGAACAAGAUGGGGUUCCGUUAGCAAGGAGUCUAGCUACUGGGUGGGCGAUAACCCAGAAAACCAAGCAGAAGCCCAGAGGCAUUGGCGAUAGGGUGGGCAGAAGAUUCGAGGGCCAGAUCCUGAUGCCCAGCUUGGUUGGUUAGGGGAACAACAAGGAAACAAAGCACGCGUCGUCCAGUGGCUUCCGGAAGUUCCUAGUCCACAGCGUCAAGGAGCUUGAAGUGCUGCUGACGCCCGACAGAUCUUACUGUGCAGAGAUUUCUCACGAUGUCUCCUCCAAGAACCACAAAGCCCGUCUACAGAUUGCAGGUGGCAAGAGGUGUGAGGCUCUGCGAACUCCAGGCGGCCAGGCCCAGCUGAGGCCACGUAAACAAAAAGCCCCAGCCUUUCGGUGUGUACUGCUUGAGGUCACUUUCUCCAUGGAGGUUUUCCUGAGCCCUCCCUCAGGAGACACUGCCGGCUCCCUCCUUCGGUCCUCAACCCACACACCAUGCCUUCGGCCCCCUACUUGUCUAUGCCCCCCCUGAACUGGGACUUCCUUACUUUGACAUCAAAGUGGCUGCUGCCAUUCCUGGCCCACAGAAGGCCAUCACCCAUGUGUGAUGGCGGGCGGAGGAGGGUGCAGAGGAAGUCAGCCCCCCCAGUUCCCUGGGUCAUUAACGUUAACACUGUGGAAUUAUCUCUGCCUUGCUCUUCUUUUCGGAGCGGUGGCCUCAAGCUUGCAGACUUGUGCCCUUGAGCCAGGAUCCCGUCAAGCUGAGAAACCCAGUUUGCUUGUUCUCCUUUUAGUUGGGGCCGGAGAGGAACCCCGUGGGCAGUGUUGGGCCAUAGACUUUUGGCAAGUGGUGCCAUGGGCUUGACUCCUAACUUUUCCCACAUUCCUUCAAACGGACCCCCUGCCCUGCAGGAUGGCUUUUAGUGGAAUGUCACAUGUCCUCGGCACUCGUCUGUGGUCCCUGGGAAGGCACCUACCACACUAUUUAGGCUGCGUGUCUUUGGUCUGUCUCUCCUGCACGAUGACCAGCUUUGUGAGGACAGGCGUGCUGUUAGGAUCAUUUCUGAACCCAGUGCCUGGAAAAUGCAGAAUAGAUGUUUAACGAAUGGA